UGCUCAACCAGGCUCUUCCUGAACAGUAGUGAUGGAAUUUGUCAUCAUUUUUUCUAUUCUAAAAGUGUAAAAUUUUAUAUUUUUUUCUGAUUUCUAUGUUUUAUAACUCAAUUACCUAGUGCCAUCUACUUUUUGUCCAUAAUGCUGCACUGAAGUUACUUUUUAUCAACUAAAUUUUGUCACCUGUCACCUGACAGGUAGAACAAAGACAUAACUCUAACAUUGGCUCCUGAGCAGCACAAUUAAUCUCAUCUGAUCUCCAACGGACUGAUGGUCUGUACUGAUGCACAGUGUGAAGCUAUGCUGCCAUAGUAUAUUUGAUUUGCUCACACAUCCUUAAAACUUCCCUUAUUCCCACCUCUGUCUUCCCUGACGGAAAGGUUAGAGGCAAGCUCAGUGCGGUUCCACUGCAUACAUCUUGGUUGGUGUAACAGCUGAGAAAAACAGGUUAAACUGUGACCCCUUAAAGGCAGCAGAUAACUGGGCAUAUGUGUGUAUUGGGUGGGGGGGUGAAUGUCUGAAAUUGAACCUCUGAACCCUCAAGCACAAGCCUGCUACUUGCUAGCUGCAGCUGGCAUGGGCUGGUUGUAAAUUCUGAAAAACACCUCCUGAGUCCUCCAACUAAUAAGGAGAUAGAACCACUGAUUAGGAGGUCGUUCAUGCACUGUGCACAUGAGACUAUUUAGAUUUAGAAAACCAGGGGCUUGGGGACCUGGAAAUAACAGCUGGUGCCAAAAAGAAGAGUUCAUGAAAAGUGGUCUCAGAAAGAAGAAGGAGGCUGGGAAAGAAGAUGGUAGAGAUCCUGGCUGGAAGAAAGAUCCUGGAAGUCGGAGAAGAUAGUGGAGAUCAGGGAGCUGCCUGGACACAAAUGCUGAUGGAUGUCCACAGACCCUGGUCAGUAAUGCCCAAGGCCAGCAGCAGUGCAGCAAGAGCUGACCCAGCUUGUUGCCUGACUGUCCCAGGCCCACAGAGAGCUUGUCUGUGGGGAAGGGAAGUCCAGACACUGCAGAAUUCAUUUCCUGAUCUGUAUUGUCCAAGGAAAUUAUUUCAUUCUUCAUCUGUCACUAAACUAAAAGCUCCAUGUACUGUUGAAAACAUCUGCU
rnacentral:lncRNA from 1 species